rnacentral:rRNA from 1 species
CCUACGGGCGGCAGCAGUGAGGAAUAUUGGUCAAUGGGCGCGAGCCUGAACCAGCCAAGUAGCGUGAAGGAUGACUGCCCUACGGGUUGUAAACUUCUUUUAUAAAGGACUAAAGUGAGGCACGUGUGCCUUUUUGUAUGUACUUUAUGAAUAAGGAUCGGUUAACUCCGUGCCAGCAGCCGCGGUAAUACGGAGGAUCCGAGCGUUAUCCGGAUUUAUUGGGUUUAAGGGGAGCGUAGAUGGGUUGUUAAGUAAGUUGUGAAAGUUUGCGGUCCAACCGUAAAAUUGCAAUUGAUACUGGCAGUCUUGAGUACAGGUGAGGUAGGCGGAAUUCGUGGUGUAGCAGUGAAAUGCUUAGAUAUCACGCAGAACUCCGAUUGCGAAGGCAGCUUACUAAUCUGCCACUGACAUUGAUGCUCGAAAGUGUGGGUAUCAAACAGGAUUAGAUACCCCGGUAGUC